rnacentral:rRNA from 1 species
AUUGAACGCUGGCGGAAUGCUUUACACAUGCAAGUCGAACGGCAGCACGGACUUCGGUCUGGUGGCGAGUGGCGAACGGGUGAGUAACAUAUCGGAACGUAUCCAAUAAUGGGGGAUAACGAGUCGAAAGAUUCGCUAAUACCGCAUACGCCCUACGGGGGAAAGCUGGGGACCUUCGGGCCUGGCGUUAAUGGAGCGGCCGAUAUCUGAUUAGCUAGUUGGUGAGGUAAAGGCUCACCAAGGCGACGAUCAGUAGCUGGUCUGAGAGGACGACCAGCCACACUGGAACUGAGACACGGUCCAGACUCCUACGGGAGGCAGCAGUGGGGAAUUUUGGACAAUGUGCGCAAGCCUGAUUCAGCCAUUCCGCGUGAGUGAAGAAGGCCUUCGGGUUGUAAAGCUCUUUCGCAAGGGAAGAAAACUUAGCCACUAACAUUGGUUGAGGUUGACGGUACCUUGAUAAGAAGCACCGGCUAACUACGUGCCAGCCGCCGCGGUAA